GAGCUUGUAGUGGACAAAACAAAGAGGAAAAAAAGAAGAGAACUGUCUGAGGAACAGAAACAAGAAAUUAAAGAUGCUUUUGAACUAUUUGAUACAGACAAAGAUGAAGCAAUAGAUUAUCAUGAAUUAAAGGUGGCAAUGAGAGCCUUGGGGUUUGAUGUAAAAAAAGCUGAUGUACUGAAGAUUCUUAAAGAUUAUGACAGAGAAGCCACAGGGAAAAUCACCUUUGAAGAUUUUAAUGAAUGACAGACUGGAUAUUGGAAAGAGAUCCCCAUGAAGAAAUACUCAAGGCAUUUAAACUAUUUGAUGAUGAUGAUUCAGGUAAAAUAAGCUUGAGGAAUUUGCGACGUGUUGCUAGAGAAUUGGGUGAAAACAUGAGUGAUGAAGAACUUCGAGCUAUGAUAGAAGAAUUUGACAAAGAUGGUGAUGGAGAAAUAAACCAAGAGGAGUUCAUUGCUAUUAUGACUGGUGACAUUUAAAGAAUUACAAGGAUAAACACUAAGAAUGUUGCAGUUACCAUCUUAUAUUCUAUUUUUGUGCCUGGAGCCAUGUGAAAAAAACCAACUUAGUUCUUUUAUCCUAAAGGACCAAAAAUAAGCAUCUUAUAUAU
rnacentral:lncRNA from 1 species